UCGCCCGCUCCUCCCUUCUUCCGUAGAGUCAGAGAGGCGACGGGAGAGAGACUGAGAGAAACGGCGCCCGCUCCUCCCUUCUUCCAUAGAGUCAGAGAGGCGACGGGAGAGAGACUGAGAGAAACGGCGAGGCCGUUGCUGCCUCCACCGGUCCACCCCUCGAUGCUCUGCGCCCACCUUCACAUAUUGAUGUCAUCGAGCACUACAUCCGGUUUUACUUCGGUUAAAUGCUGAUUUCCAGAGAGGGUGUUUGCAUCUGAAAGUUGUUGCCGGUCUAGCAUAAGGAAAAUACAGAUAUGGACUUAUGAACAGUAUGAUGUACUAUUUACCUAAUUCAGUUUCUUUUAACUUUUUCAGCCAAAUACAUCAGAGAACUAUAACUAUUCAUUGAUGGGUCUGAUUUCGAGAUUACUUUCAGUUUGUCAACCUAGAUUAGUCAAUAGUUUUACUAUAAUAAUUUGACCCAGAUUAAACAUACCCCUUUUUGUUCCGAUUGCAGGUGCUCCCGCGCGUCGACACCAACUUCACCUUCUCCUGCUUUGGUAAGUGUUUUAUCAACUUGGUCUCCUGUAGAAAGAGAUCUAUUUUUCUUGUACAGCAGAAUUUGUGGGUUUUCCAUGGGGUAUGCAAAAUUGUAAUCUGAAAAAUUGAGGCCUUUUGAUGCUUGAUGCUG